rnacentral:rRNA from 1 species
GAUGAACGCUAGCUACAGGCUUAACACAUGCAAGUCGCGGGGCAGCAUGGGGGUUGCUUGCCAUCCCCGAUGGCGACCGGCGCACGGGUGAGUAACGCGUAUUCAACCUGCCCUUCACCACGGGAUAACCCGGCGAAAGUCGGACUAAUACCGUAUGUUGUCCAUUGACGGCAUCCGAUUUGGACGAAAGGCUUGGCGGUGAGGGAUGGGGAUGCGUCCGAUUAGCCAGACGGCGGGGUAACGGCCCACCGUGGCUACGAUCGGUAGGGGUUCUGAGAGGAAGGCCCCCCACACUGGAACUGAGACACGGACCAGACUCCUACGGGAGGCAGCAGUGAGGAAUAUGGGUCAAUGGGCGUAAGCCUGAACCAGCCAAGUAGCGUGCAGGAUGACGGCCCUAUGGGUUGUAAACUGCUUUUAUGCGGGGAUAAAGUGGCCCACGGGUGGGCUUUUGCAGGUACCGCAGGAAUAAGGACCGGCUAAUUCCGUG